GGAUCUGGAGCUCCAUGUGGAUGAUGCAGAAGACUCCAGCCAGGUGAUCCCACAUAAGUGCGCAACAGCUGCCACAGGAGAGGGACUGCCGGGAGGAGCCUGCCCCGAGCAGCACUGACUGCCCACCCCAGCCACCUCUGAGCGGCAGAGCCAUGGGUUUCUGCCUCUUCAUCCCCAUCCACUUGACUUACCUGCUGUGGAGGAGAAAGGGGUGGGCAGCUAGCCCUACGGGGCAGUCCUGGGCUGGAGAGCACUGCAGGAACUUCAGCCCAGGGGGCUGGAGUUUUCCAGGCAGUUCCUUGGGAAGGAUGACGUUUUCCAGCGCCGGAGGGGUGGGCACACUGUCCCUCGUGAUUUGGGGGCUCCCUGUCCACCCUGUUGGCCUCAGCCUGCAGCAGACAAGGCACCCAGCAGCCCCAACCAGGGAACGCUCUUUGUGCUGCCCCAAAUGACCCUCUCGUCCUCCGUGUACGUGGCUGCACGACCAGGCUCGCUCCUCCGCUUGCUGUGCACGCAAGUAAAACCGGUUUGCACAGAGGGCGCUGGCUUUGUCCCGGGGCUGAAGUUCCUUAUGGUGGCUCCAGAGCGAGGGAAGUGGCGCGCGCGCAGGCGUGCGUCUGCGUGUGUGUGUAGUGAGAGGGGCUGGAUGCUGCACGCCAGCACAGGGAAGAAGGCCUGGCCCUGCCUCAAAAUACACUCGGAUCUAAGAAAAAGGAGGGUUUCUGGUGUCCCUCCGCUCUUCCCAGUAGGGAGUUUUACUGCAAGACUCAAAAGAGCUGCUGGGAUCAGAGGGGUUCUUUUUGGCAGCAUCGGGUGCGUGAAGUUGGAGCCGGGAUUGAACAUCCCUGGGUCUGCUACCAGCAAACCCCCCGAGGCGAGCAGCCCUGACCACUGCCUGUCCCACAAAGAUCUCCUGGGAGGGUGGGCCCUGGCUCACAUCCCUCUCCCAUCACUUCCUCGCAGUCACUAGGACACGUCUCUUCCGCAGGCGUCCGCUGGUCCUGGCUGGCGGACUAUCUGAGCGACGUGUGUUCUCACCUGUACGAGAACUUCCCACAGGCACUCCCGUACAUCCUCCCUGGCACCCUGCUGCUUCUGCUGCUCCUCUGCUGCCUCACGUACGUGUGUGGUGGUCCCUUUCUCUGGGGCGGGUUUGCUCCUCUGGGUCCUGCUCUCUGGGUCAUAGCUCCGAAAUCCCCACUGUCAUGAGCAAGACAUGGCAGCGAGGAGGUGCACCUCUGGCCACCUCUGGAAGAUGCAGCAGGAGAAGAUUUCCAAGGGAGGAUGCUAACCAAAAGCUAGUCCCCAGUCUGCGAGGCCACAGUUAAAAGGUAACUUUAGACCGAGGCAACCUGGGGAACUCGUCGAGCAGCAGCGUGGGAGUCCGGUGCAAGGAAACCUCAAAACCUGCAGGAUCCCAGGGAUGGCGUGAAAAAUCCUUUCAGUGAUUAUCUUAGAGAAGAUUCCACCAGAAUUAAUUUCCCAUCCCCCAAGUCAUUUUUGAGUGAAUUGUUCCACCCAGACAGAAGGACAGGGUAAUUGAAAAGAAUGUGGAAUUAACAGUACAGGCAGGGGGAAAUCGGACUGCCUGGCCUCAGGUUGACCCCGGUUGGCAUUAGAAUAAUCAAACAGACAGAGAUAAUUGCCAAACAGUGGUUAGAAAUCUGAUAAACGUGAUUAGAGCUUUGGAGGAGAUGAGAGUAAAGCAAACUAAAGUACAGGAAUGUAGACAGAGGCCAGAGGAACACCCCAGCGACUACUGGGGAAGAUUGCGACAGGCUUUGUUGACGUAUGGGGGAAUGACUCUUCAGAAUUUCAAUAAUGAACUGGCAGCAAGUGUGUUUGUGGAGCAAGCCACCUCUGACAUCUGCAGCUAUUUUAAGGAUCACAUGCUGGGGUGGCAAGGAGAAAAUUUGAAAGAUGCUGUAUUACCUGGAGGUUCUAUACUUGUACAAUAUGUAGAUGAUUCGUUAGUUGCCAGCAAGACGUACGAAGAUUGCUUGAAAGAUACUAUUUGUCUAUGUACUGCUUUAGCAGAAAAAUGUCACUGUGCAUCUCUUUCUAAGCUUCAGCUGUGUCAGCAGGAAGUGAAAUAUUUAGGAUUCGUAUUAAAAGAAGGACAAAGGUUAGUAGACCCAGAACGGGUCCAGGCUAUUGUAGAAAUACCUCGACCGGUAACAAAGAUGUAAUUGAGAGGAUUUUUAGGUGCAGUAGGAUACUAUGGCUAUGAGGGCUAGGGGAGUUAAGUAAGCCAUGGGCAGAAGCUACCAAGGCAGAGGAAGUGGAGCCUGGACGGUGGGGUCCAAAGAGAGAAAAGGCUUUCCGAGCUAUAAAAGGAGCUUUAGCUUCUGCUCCGUCAUUAGGAUCGCUAGAUUACUCCAAGCCCUUUAAACUAUUUGUGCCAGCAGAGUCCUUACUCAAAAGCUAGGUCCGCACCGCCGCCCUGUGGCUUACCACUCGACUCAACUGGAUCCUGUAGCGGCAGGGAGUAAUUCCUGUGUUAGAGGGAUAGCAGCAACAGUGACUACCAUAGAAAGCAGCAGACCGUUAGUCCUGGGUCACCCAACAACCGUGUAUGUCCCGCAUGAAGUGGAACUGAUUCUUAAGCAACAUGCUACACGAGCAUUGUCCCCACAAAGAGCACAUCGUUGUGAAUUAACGAUUUUAAAUGCAGGUAAUGUUACUUUGAAAAGACGUAAUGUUUUGAAUCCAGCAACUUUACUGCCCGCUCCCUCCGACGGUGAGCCGCAUCAUGACUGUGCUAAGGUCGUGUUCCACUCCAGCCGCCUACAGGAAGAUCUGCGGCAUCAACCUCUAGAGAACUUGGAUCUAACCCUUUCCACCAAUGGAUCGUCAUACUGUGUGGAUGGAAAACGACACGCGGCUAUGCAGUGGUGAGAAACUUAGAGGUACUUGAAGCAGAACCUCUCCAACUCUCGGUGGGCGCCCAAGGGGCUGAAUUAACUGCAUGAGCAAGAGCAGCCUGGGUGGGGCAUAAUCAGCAGGUAGCUAUUUAUACUGACUUUAAAUAUGCCUUUGGAGUGUGUCAUGCAACGGGUAUGCUAUGGAAAGAACAAGGGUUCCGUACCUGGGUGGGCAAAAAUAUUUCUCAUGGAACUGAAAUCCAAAUGCUGUUGGAAGCUGUUAAGCUUCCAAGGGAAAUCGCUGUAGUCCACUGUCCAGCUCAUACCAAAGGAUCCAGCGAAAUUGAAAGAAAUAAUGAACGGGCAGAUAAAGCAGCUGUGUGAGUCAGCGCAGGCAGAACAGAGGAACAACCACAAACCCAUGGAUGAAAUGCAAAGAGUGAAUUUAUUUUUGUUACCUCGCCAGCCGGGGCAUCCCCGAAGCAGCACUCAGGCAGAGGCACACGAGCAGGGACGCAGGCACCGCUGAGCUCGGUCCAUGCCGGAGGAUCGCCGACCCUGCUGGUUUUGCGUGUUUAUCAGGGAUUCGCGCAGGUGUAGUUUACCACUGUGCUUUGACCUUCUGCGUAGCAGGGCAGGAAUUUCAAGCGUGUCCAAUAGGGUGCCUCUAAGUCUGCCAUCUGCCUGUGUUAGCUAAACACAGAUGUUCUACUUGUCCAGCAGAGAAGGAUAAAUGACUAUCAGUAUGAUCUAUUUAUUUUUCUACACUCCAGCUGCAGGUCACUCGAGGGUGUUUACAAUCCUCCUCGCCAAUAUUCCGUUAUUAUCCUUUGACCUUAGUUGAAUUGAAAGCGACAGAGAACUAUACUUAUAAACAACCCCUCCAAUUCACCUUUCUGGAAUAAGACUCUCUUAACUCGGACCAAAUGGCAGGAUUGGGAAUAUACCACCGCCAUGCUCACAGAAGGAACUUUCUGUUUCACUCGUAACCAGUCUGACCAAUGUGCCUACCCGGCAGGAAACAGCUCAUGCCUCAUAACCCAGUGGAGAGAUGGUUACCGGUUUAAGAACACCCGCACUUUCUGUAAAGGUCAAACCCCAUUUUUUGAAACUAUAAGCUUCAGGCCACGGAGGAACAACUGCAGUAGCAUCCCAACGUAUGACACCAGAACGAGCUACAAGUGGUGGAAAGGUAAAGGACAACGUAGUCUAAGUGGAACUCACAUAUCGGAAGACAAAGACGGUUUUGACCUUCCGUUGGGAAGAUAUGGGAUUUUAAUCUUACACACCAGUGCACUGACAAGUAGACAUCACUCCCCACUGUGGGCCCUACAAGGCCAUUAUUUUGCCUGUGGCCGAAAAGCUUAUAAAAUACUACCAGCCAAUUGGACAGGCAGUUGUUACGUCGCCCGCGGGGUGCCCUAUUUACACAUUACUUCUAAGUUACCUCAGGGAACAAUUAGAAACGUCACAGAAACUUCCCUCAUUGAAACUUGAGAACAAACUCUCCAAAGACUAGAAGAAGCACUAGAUAGCACACGGAAAAGUCCACCAGCAGAGGGAAAACUAAUAGGAUGUUCCAUUUCAAGAAUGAUUCCGUAAGUGACCGGCCCCACCAUGCCGAUAUACCAUCAGACUACAAAGGGCCUUAGAAGAGGUUGCUUUAGAACUUGAAGACUCUAUCAAUGAUCGAGGAACAGCCAUUGAAUCCCUGGUUACAAAACUUGUUCUCUGGAUGGCGAUUAUCCUCAUGGUUUAGUGGUUUAUUUAGUUCAUUGCUAAAGAGUCUUUUAGCUGUGGUUACUAUGCUUCCGGUAGCCUGCUGUGUUUUUACUUGCAUUUGGAAUUGUUUACAGAAUAUGCUUAUGAAAUCUGUACAAGGGUAUCGAAGAGUCCUCAUACAAGACCAACCAUAGACGGGCAGGGAUGCCUGAAAGAAACAAAGGGAGGACUGUUACAGAAGAAAUGCAAUUAACUGUAUUCUUCUCUCUGAACAGUCUCGUUUAGCGUUAGUAGCUUGGCAGUAGAAGCUAAAGCAGUUGAAGCCUUAGGCCGCGAGAGCUGACUGAGAGUAAACUUUUUGAUAAAACUAAUGCUGCUAACACAGAACUAGCUGAAUCCGGCAGAUACGAGCAGAAUGAAGGAGAUGAGGACCAAGGAAACAAUUCCAAGAGAAUGAAGUAACUUCAGAAGAAGGCUGGCCCGGCGACAGUGAAAACCAGUAAGAAAUCAAGAGACCGCUGACCAGAAUUAAGUGAUUAGACUUGGGGACUGGGUGCUGGGUGGUAGGGGUAUAAUUGAGGGGUGCGAUCUGGGGUCGGGGUCCCUCUCCGGAGGCACGCAGCUCGAGCUGUGACCUGAGAACUAAUAAAAGAGGAAUCGGAAACCUUCACUCGGACAUUGCAUUUUCAGCAGGAUCCUAGGGCUGGACCCUGUUAGGGCGGCCGGCGUGCAUAAAUCCAUAACUGUGGCCUGACUACGUUUUCUGUAGAACAGCUGGCAACCUGGAGAACUGAGAUUGCAAGAUGGCAAAUCCACUACAUUACUGAGGGUAAUUAGGAACAAAAAUUAAUGGUGGAGGUGGAGAAGGAUGAGUUAUUUGAAUGGACUGUUUGCUCAGUUCCCUUCAGCUGCUAUUCCUGACUGCUGUUGGGCACUUCUGCCUCUUGCCUUCCGCUUAUUGGGACCUUUUCCAGUACCUAGGUGAAGGCGGCCUGUCUUCAGAUCAGAAAAGAAAGGCACCCGCUGUCUUUGCUGCACCCAGCUCUUGCCUACAGGCCUAGCCAAAUUUCUGCAGCGUUAAGAUGCAAUCUCAAGAAGGGGAUGCUUUAUUCUGGAAGCCAGAGACGCCCUGGCGGUCCCCGAAUAAUUGUGUGUGUCGCACAAAUAAAGAGCAAUUCUAGUACACCCGGCUAACGGUAAAUGAAACGAACGCUUGCAGCAAACGCUCCCCAGAGUCCCCGCAGGAGGCUGAGGCUUUGGGAGAGAGAGCAGUCCCGUUUGCACAGCUAGGGGAGAAGACAGAGGCAAGAGGUAAUUCUGGUAUAACGGUGGUAUUACGUGCACUUCUGAUUUUAAUAUUUGGGUCGAGAGACAGCAGUUUUUUUCAAAUGCUUUUCCAGGGUUUGUUCUUCAAAUGUUUUUCAGGUUCCGCACUUAAAUAACUAGGAACUUGCGGUGUUCCUAGCCGAAGGGCAGCCAUUCAUCCCUACAGUAUCUAAGAAGAGCCAAUUAGCACAAAGCUUUUUUUUGCCUAGAUAAAAUUACAGUUGAGAGAUGCUUAAUUCAGAAUUUGAUGUUAUUUUAUAGUGAAGUUAGCUAUGGACGUGCCAUGCCGUGAAGCAAAAACCAAAAAUCUGUGCAUCGAAAGUACUUACGAGCCUCUCCUUUUCAAUUAAAACAGACAAACCCGUUA